rnacentral:rRNA from 1 species
CAGUUCAGAUUGCAGGCUGCAACCCGCCUGCAUGAAGUCGGAAUUGCUAGUAAUCGCGGAUCAGCAUGCCGCGGUGAAUACGUUCCCGGGCCUUGUACACACCGCCCGUCACACCAUGGGAGCCGGUAAUACCCGAAGUCAGUAGUCCAACCUCGUGAGGACGCUGGCGAAGGUAGGAUUGGCGACUGGGGUGAAGUCGUAACAAGGUACC